CCGUGUUUUACUUGCACAUGCAAAGCGCACUGAACAAGCGUUGUUUUGCUUCCCGGAUGACAGGACCGCUGCUCCUCACUGGUGUAUAAGAAACCUGCUCACCUCCGAUGGCUCAGCUCUAAUGACAGGAGAUGUGUCUCAUUCUCCCCAGGGACUAAAAGGAAGAAAACAAGUCGCAGACACAGAACUCUGCUUCCUCUACGCGUUCUAAUGUCAGUGGCUCAGAGAGACGACAACGGCAACAGCCCAAAUGAGCCACGGCAGAGCCCCCUGUUGUAUCCUCUGCACCCUCUGAUGAGACCCCAAACUACAGAUGGGUUUGCGUCUUCCUUUUGUCCGUCGGCGAGGCGCGUGUCCCUUCGGUCGGUGUGCACACGGCGUCGGCCUGUUUGGAAUCGGUUCCGUAUCCCCUCCCUCGCUCAUCUAUCAUCACCACUGAUCAAGACACCUUCCCACGGCCGUGCGGAUGUUCUUGAAGAUUAAAACAUCCAUGAGUUGAAAGGGCUGCGAUUUUGCCCCAUGACUCAGGAAAGAGUGUCUGAACCCUGACCUUUGUCAUUAUCCAGCCGACAACAUUGUGGCAAGACAAUCAGGGGAUCAAGGCCAGCCAGGAGAGAACCUCUGUCAGGAUAUAAAAAAAAACAUUUAAUGUCUCUUUAAUGGAGGUUGUUUGGUGUUUUUUCGCACUGUAGGUUUACAAUGUCACUUGAUGUCAUUGUUUAUACUGUAAGUUAUUUUAUGACCCCAUUUAACAGUUUCCCUUCUUUGCAUGGCAACAGCCUUUCAUCCUAGGUUUUUGAGUAUCAGCCCCUUAGAUCUUAAAGUGUGCUUUGUUUUGGUGGAAUAUUUUUCCCAGAUCCUGUUAGCCACAAUCUUCUGUCAUAGGCUACACUAAAAGCUCCAUUUUGGUUGACAUGAACUCAUCCAAAGCUUCUGAAUAACGUCUUGGGAUCUCUGUCUUAUUCAGCUUUGGUAAACACUUUUUGUGAGCCCUUUUUUUUUUAUACCAUAUUAGCUAGAGGCACCAUACAAGUCUAUGCCAUAUCCCAACUAUUAUAAACAAGAAUGCACUGCUGAUGGUAGUUCAUGUCACAGCUUUCUGUUUACAGUUCCCUUGAAUGUCCAUCACUGACAAAUAUCGGCUAAACAUAUCUAAUAUGCAAAAAAGUUGGAUAUGAAAACACAUUUUGUGUUAAUAUUGGGGAGAAAUCUCAGUCUUCUUUUUCCACUCAUCACUAAUAAACAUAACAGGGUUAAAUGACGACUCCUCCAUUUUCUGUUUUUCAUUUAGUGAGCAUCAUUGGUCAUCCUUUUCUAUAAAAAGGCAGAUGUUGCAGAAUUUAUUUUCCUCUCAAAAUCAAAUUAGAAUUUAUUUGUGAACUAGACAAUUUUUCAAUGAGAGUAUAGCUUUUACAUUCAAUUGCAUUUAGGAAUACUCAUAUUCUCCAUGACCCAGUAAUGACAACCAUGUCUGUCAAGCUGGUUCACAACUAUCAUCAAUAUACCCUUAGCCAGUGUGUGAUGUGCUUUACCUUUUGUCCUUCUCUACUGAUGGUACUGACAUGUGAUUUAUUGCUUAUUUAAGUAAGUAAGGAACACAUAAUGCAAUCAGCCCCCACUGAUGGAAUCAUUGCCCAUUGCCUCCACUCAGAUAAAAAAUAGGACACUGCCUUUUGCUUUCUCUUUUCGAUAAAUGUGAAAAGAGAAACACAUUUGUUUCUUUUGCUUACUGAUUAAAGGUAUCAGAAUUUAGAUUUUGCAACAUUUGCAACAGAUUUUUGGAGAAUUUAAUGACAAGUAGUCACACUGCACACUCCGAAUGUGUUUUCUUUUGACAACAUGCAGGUGUGAAUUAAAUGGGAUGUUUUAUCAGGUUGGUGGUUCAUUUUGGAAGGGCAAAAACAGGCUAGUGUACAUCGUGCACAUUGUUAGUAAUGAAGAGUACUUCCUGUUGGCAGCAAUAAUAAACAGGAUGCUGUGUCAUCUCAGAUGUUAGUAAGACAGCUGCCAUAUGGCAAAGAAGCAGCUUGGAGUUGCAUACUUUCAGCAACUUAGACUCAUAGAUUUCAAGCCAUCUUGAGUUUUGUGGGAGAAAACAUCUGCUUUACUGUACAAAUAGAAGCUGAUUAAAUUCAGAUAUAUUAUGCAAAAGAUCAAAUCUAGUCUGAUUUCUUUCUACUGACUUAAAUCUCAACUGGAAACACACAUUAUAUCAUGCCUGAAAUAAGCCUAGAACCUGUCAAUUUGCACAUAUGGUUAAGUUAUGUAUACUGACAGACAUCAAAUUAUUCCUAAUGCCUGCUUUAAAAAGACUUGUCUAGCUAACUAUAUUACAUCAAAUGAUGCAAAACAACAUGUUAAAUACUACAGAGAACUGUUAGCAAGCCAACUAAUGUUGUUUGCCAGGAGCAGCUAGCUAGAAAUGUUUGCUAAGCUACAGUCCCUAGGCUGUGAUUUAACAUCAAACCUUUGUUUAUCUUAUGAUUGCAAAUCUGGCUAGCUAGGUAAUAGAUCAUGUUCAUAGAAAACCAAUUAAUGUAAGCGAAUAGCUAGCUAGUGCAACUAUAGGCUGUCCCUGCUGAUUCAUCCACGGACCAGCACAAUUCAUGAUAAUAAUGUGAUAUAAAUUGUGUUUGCUUCUUAAAUGCAUAGCCAGCUAAAAGGUCAUUUAUAAUAUAUACAUGAAUUGGCAUUUUGGUCAAGCUUUUUCUUUUCUUUUUUACAUUAACUUUUGACUGCAUAAAAAAAUACCUUUUUAACACAUCCAAAUAUAGUUUUUCUAGAAAAAUAUCUGAACAGGAUAAUUCAUACUCUUUAUUUCUCUCAUACUCUUUUCAUCACAUCUCCCCUCCCAUUUCACCUCACAUGGUCCCAGCAUGGUCCUAGCAGCCGGCGGAUAACCCCAACUACCUCAUCCUCCCAUCAGUCAAACCCACAUCCUUCCUCCUUUUUUCAUUUCAUCCUUUCUUCCCAUUCUCCUGGCAUCUUUGUAGUGGUAUUCUUCCAUACAGAAUUCUAAAAUCCAACCAUCUGUUACCAAAAACUUCACCUCUCCACUCUUUCCUUUUCCCCCCACGCACAUUUUAAGCAGUAACAGGAAAUUGCACCUGCUUUGUAUGCUUACUUCCUGUCCUCUGUUAGACUUUUUACUUCAAACUCAGCGUAGUGGGAUUUCUGUCACCACCAGUCAGGCAAUAACAGAUAUGGUCUAUAAUGUUCUUACAAGCUUUGGCAGGAAUAGGGAUUCGCUUUUGGUCUCAGUAGUGAAAGUGAUUUUCCUAGCUGUCCAGGAUUACACUACAUUAUGUUUUUUAACACAAUAGGUCCCGUGGGCCCAAGCAAAAAAAUAAAAACAUUUCUUUCAUCACUUCAUUUCUUUGCUUGUUCUGCACUCAUAUUUUAACCUCACACUGAAGUGUGUUACUAUUUUCUUCUCAGCACAUUCAGGGCAACAAGUACAGAGGCAGCCCAAAAGAAAGUGAAAAAACAAUUGUAUCCAUGAUUUUUUUUAUUGACACAUUAAUAAAAUGUAGGUCAAACAAACCAUAAACUGAUGGAAAAAAAAAAUCCAUAACAAUCAUCUGCAAUGUGGAAUGAUGUGGAAUUACUCUACAAAUCCAGUGGCAAAACCCUGUAGCAGAUGUUUCAAAGUGGUAAAAACAUGCUGAAGUGCCGGGCGACCAUGGGAUACAAGUUUAACAUGAUUACAGCAGCAUUAUCCAGAUUGAACAAUCAAAACUCAGCCAUACAUUUUCAUGGUGGGGAGAAAAUGUAUCACAUUACCACAAGCCAAACAAGCCUACAGCAGUCCGUUGUGAAAGUUAUGUAAUAUGAAACACGUUUAUUGUUUUGGACAUGGCAGUCAGGAAUGUUAUUGAGUUAGGUAAUCCAAAACAGGAUGUUAUGUUGCACAAUUAUACCUCCAAAGAAAGAAUGAUGAUGAUGAAACAUAAUCUGAAGUGAGGUGACAGGUUGCUUUCAAAAUGGCAUCCUGUUCACUCUGUAGUGCAUUACUUUUGACCACGGCACACGACUAUUAAAAGUGGUGCACUAUAAAGGGAAGUGAGUACAUUUUGUGCUUUUCCUUUUCAGAUGAUGAAACCGUUACAAUGAGGAGAUUUGGUAUUUUUAUCCCCAUACCAUCUUUACAUUUAAAUUGACCUCUUGCAUUUAACAUUUGCUUAAUG